ensembl:snoRNA
AACGCAUAUAACUUGUGGACAAAGACUUAUUGAUGGGUGCAAAAAAUAAAUUAUCUUUUGCCACUCAGAACUCACUGCUCAGUAUGAGUUUUGAUACAUAUAAGAAGGAAUAUU